AUAUUGGGCAAUGGACGCAAGUCUGACCCGGCAACGCCGCGUGAAGGAAGAAGGCUUUCGGGUUGUAAACUUCUUUUAAGGGGGAAGAGCAGAAGACGGUACCCCUUGAAUAAGCCACGGCUAACUACGUGCCAGCAGCCGCGGUAAUACGUAGGUGGCAAGCGUUGUCCGGAUUUACUGGGUGUAAAGGGCGUGCAGCCGGAGAGGUAAGUCAGAUGUGAAAUCCGCGGGCUCAACUCGCGAACUGCAUUUGAAACUGCUUCCCUUGAGUAUCGGAGAGGUAAUCGGAAUUCCUAGUGUAGCGGUGAAAUGCGUAGAUAUUAGGAAGAACACCAGUGGCGAAGGCGGGUUACUGGACGACAACUGACGGUGAGGCGCGAAAGCGUGGGGAGCAAACAGG
rnacentral:rRNA from 1 species